UACGAACCGUGCGAACGUUGUUCGGAAUUACUGGGCGUAAAGGGCUCGUAGGCGGCCAACUAAGUCAGACGUGAAAUCCCUCGGCUUAACCGGGGAACUGCGUCUGAUACUGGGUGGCUUGAAUCCGGGAGAGGGAUGCGGAAUUCCAGGUGUAGCGGUGAAAUGCGUAGAUAUCUGGAGGAACACCGGUGGCGAAGGCGGCAUCCUGGACCGGUAUUGACGCUGAGGCGCGAAAGCCAGGGGAGCAAACGGG
rnacentral:rRNA from 1 species